rnacentral:rRNA from 1 species
AAUGGGCGAAAGCCUGACGGAGCAACGCCGCGUGAGGGACGAAGGCCUCUGGGCUGUAAACCUCUUUCCUCAAGGAAGAAGAUAUGACGGUACUUGAGGAAUAAGCCACGGCUAAUUCCGUGCCAGCAGCCGCGGUAAUACGGGAGUGGCAAGCGUUAUCCGGAAUUAUUGGGCGUAAAGCGUCCGCAGGCGGCCUUUCAAGUCUGCUGUUAAAGCGUGGAGCUUAACUCCAUUAUGGCAGUGGAAACUGAUCGGCUUGAGUAUGGUAGGGGCAGAGGGAAUUCCCGGUGUAGCGGUGAAAUGCGUAGAUAUCGGGAAGAACACCAGUGGCGAAGGCGCUCUGCUGGGCCAUUACUGACGCUCAUGGACGAAAGCCAGGGGAGCGAAAGGGAUU